CAAUGGGGGAAACCCUAUGCAGCGACGCCGCGUGGAGGAAGAAGGUUUUCGGAUUGUAAACUCCUGUCUUCGGGGACGAUAAUGACGGUACCCGAGGAGGAAGCCACGGCUAACUACGUGCCAGCAGCCGCGGUAAAACGUAGGUGGCAAGCGUUGUCCGGAAUUACUGGGUGUAAAGGGAGCGCAGGCGGGUCGGCAAGUUGGAGGUGAAAGCUGUGGGCUCAACUCACAAACUGCCUUCAAAACUGCCGGUCUUGAGUGGUGUAGAGGUAGGCGGAAUUCCCGGUGUAGCGGUGGAAUGCGUAGAUAUCGGGAGGAACACCAGUGGCGAAGGCGGCCUACUGGGCACUAACUGACGCUGAGGCUCGAAAGCAUGGGUAGCAAACAGGAUUAGAUACCCUGGUAGUCCAUGCCGUAAACGAUGAUUACUAGGUGUGGGAGGAUUGACCCCUUCCGUGCCGCAGUUAACACAAUAAGUAAUCCACCUGGGGAGUACGACCGCAAGGUUGAAACUCAAAGGAAUUGACGGGGGCCCGCACAAGCAGUGGAGUAUGUGGUUUAAUUCGAAGCAACGCGAAAAACCUUACCAGGUCUUGACAUCCGACGCAUAGCUCAGAGAUGGGUGAAGUCCUUCGGGACGUCGAGACAGGUGGUGCAUGGUUGUCGUCAGCUCGUGU
rnacentral:rRNA from 1 species